rnacentral:rRNA from 1 species
AAUGAUAGAAAUUUAAACACUUUUUAAAGUAUCAAUUGGAGGGCAAGUCUGGUGCCAGCAGCCGCGGUAAUUCCAGCUCCAAUAGCGUAUAUUAAAAUUGUUGCAGUUAAAAAGCUCGUAGUUGAAUUUCUGUUAAAAAUAACCGGUCUGCUUUUAUUAAAAGUGGUAUCUUGGUGUGUUUUUAGCAAUAAUGUCCUUUGAAAUGUUUUUUACUUUAUUGUAAUAAGUCAUUAUUUUGAGGAUUUUUACUUUGAGAAAAUUAGAGUGUUUCUAGCAGGCUUACGCUUUUGAAUACUGCAGCAUGGAAUAAUAAGAUAGGAUUUUAGUUCUACAUUAUUGGUUUUAAGAACUAAAUUAAUGAUUGAUAGGGAUAGUUGGGGGCAUUUGUAUUUAACUG